GUGGUGGUAGCUCAGUGGUAGAGCAGCGGGCUGCAGUCCUGAAGGUCGCCAGUUCAAUUCUGGUCCACCACU